rnacentral:rRNA from 1 species
GAUGAACGCUGGCGGCGUGCUUAACACAUGCAAGUCGAACGGAAAGGCCCAAGCUUGCUUGGGUACUCGAGUGGCGAACGGGUGAGUAACACGUGGGUGAUCUGCCCUGCACUUCGGGAUAAGCCUGGGAAACUGGGUCUAAUACCGGAUAGGACCACUUCUUGGAUGUUGUGAUGGAAAGUUUUUUCGGUGUGGGAUGAGCUCGCGGCCUAUCAGCUUGUUGGUGGGGUAAUGGCCUACCAAGGCGUCGACGGGUAGCCGGCCUGAGAGGGUGUACGGCCACAUUGGGACUGAGAUACGGCCCAGACUCCUACGGGAGGCAGCAGUGGGGAAUAUUGCACAAUGGGCGCAAGCCUGAUGCAGCGACGCCGCGUGGGGGAUGACGGCCUUCGGGUUGUAAACUCCUUUCGCUAGGGACGAAGCGUUUUGUGACGGUACCUGGAGAAGAAGCACCGGCUAACUACGUG